GUCGUUUCUGUUUUUCCUUUUUUUUUCCCCUCUAUUUUAUUUCUUUCGUUUGCAUCACAGACUCUGUUUGCAUCGUGGUUUCUUUGCAUGCUCGUGCUACAUCCGACUCGCGAGUUUAUGAAAAGCAGUUUCUAAUAAGAUAAAGAAACAGUCCAGAUAAUAGUAAUCUGGACGAAAAUACCAAGUGUAAUCAUUUGAGAGCCAACUCGAUGACAUGAUUGUUGUGGUAGCAAAAUACAGCCUCCAUUUCCAAGACCACUCUGUUGGAAACUCAGUGUCAAUCAUCACACCUGUCAAUCAACAUUGCCAAUGCUAUCUUUCGAGCUGAAUGAAACCCAGCAACUUGCAGCUUGGUGAAAAUACGUCGAAACUUGAAACGAUAAUCCUCAAUGAACGCCUCCUAUGAAUUUCCCUUCAGAUUUUCCUCGUGUACAUCCAUGUGAGUGUGGAUGUAUUCACGAGGACGUCAUACUUUUUCACGUCAGUCAACCUUUUUUAUAUGGGCGUCAGUAAAGUCCAGCGGAAAUAGUUCCGUCAGAAAAGACCAUCGUUGAUUCUUCUUAAGGAGCCACUCAAUUUUCUCGUGCUUUGAUUGUCACCUCCUGCAUCCUGAUGAGUUGAUUGUAAAGGAUAUCCAAGGAUUCUCACUCAUUUAACUGAUUCAAACACUUUUGCUGAAAGGGUGGGUGGUGAUUAUGUUAAUCUUGAUGGAUGCUAUGCAGAUUCUUCUGAAAUGGAUAAAUCAGGUAACCCUGAAUUUGGAACUCUUUUGAAUCUGACUGGUAACCCAUAGUGCGUACUUCUGUAGUUGGCCGGAUUAUCAGCUUCAACUAGUGGCUAUAAAGCAACCCCGAUAUUAGACCUGUUUGUAACCUUUGGCGAAACUUUGACGACAUCGAUGAUUCGUGGGUUAGUGUGUCAAGCAUUGAUUAUUAUGGUGAUAACCAAGAUAGGUUUGAUCCCGGUUGCUGGAAUAUGGUAAUAAUUACCGUUAGUUGGGUGAUCUAGCCAGAGAGGGAGUUCUGGUAGAUCCGAAGCCAAGAUUGUUGACUUGUCACGACUUUACCGUUCUUGAGUUUAUUCCUCCCAAGAACUUACAUUUGAAUUUUCUUUGAGUAAAGUAUUCUAUGUACGAAGCUUAGUCCAUGAUUUAGGAAUUGUUUUAAACAGCUGUGCUUACCUCGACACGCCGGAGAGAACUCGCCAAGGUCCGUUUGAAACUCAGCACUGUCUUACGGAAGAACAAUGCACGGCUACCGGUAUCCGCAAAAAUUUUUUUUAGAUGCAACAGGUUACACGCAAGUAUCUAGAUACUCAAAUGGAAAACUAUCGUUCAAGGAAAUCCCUUCAAAGUCAAAAUCAAAAUGUUGUCAAACGAAAGUAUUUUGAAUCUAGUAUAGGACUAUAUUUACUAAAAAGUAUGAUCAAUGGGAUUAAAUCUAAAUAAAUUGCAAAGUUUUUCUCCCGU
rnacentral:lncRNA from 1 species